ensembl:lncRNA
AUGCUCAGUGCAGAGCUGGCGGCUGUAACAAAAGCUGAGAGAGCUAAAGCAGCUCACAUGCUGCUAUCACAUCAGAGUGGAAUAGACCGCUGCGUGCACACUGCUGAUUCUGCUGACAUGCUCUGCCUUCUCGUCCCCAGCCUGAUGUUUCUGCAUGAGAAAGAGGGACAUCUGCUUCUUACAGCAAUCCUGCCUUAUUACAAGCGCUGUUGCCUAUCAGCGGAGCUCCUGGGAUGUUCUCCGUUUCUCCACCUCUCUCUCGCUCUCUCUCAUGUUUGUUCUCCUCCCUCUAACGCUCAUCUCUCAACACUCGUGUCUCCUGCUCUCCACACCUAACCCUUUCAUCAGACUUUCUACUCUCACCUAUCAAUCAUUCUUUCCUGUCCUGUCCCAUCCCAUCCCUCUCUGUCCUUGGCACAGUUUUCUCUUGUUACCUUCACAGUAUUUCACACUGUAUCCAUAGCACUCUCUCUUUCUCUCAGGA